UCCCGCCUUUAGCGAAGUGACACAGGCGACACCUGCUCGCUUGUGUCUGAUGCUGGAACUCGCACCUUCGCGCUGGUGAAGGUGCAGGCGCACCCGUGACUGGGGGACAGCAGAGGGUUCCCUUUCCUUGGAGCACGCGAUGCCUUAGAGUGGCAGCGGGCGGGCUGCGAGGAGCUCGGCCGGCUGCACUUGAAGGCGGGGUCGAGGGGCUGCAGCUGGUCAGGAGUUGCUGCUAAGUGGACUCGGAGUCGACGGCGUCCAGGUGUCGGAGAGGGCACCGGCGGGGACCUGUGUGCGAGCUGCGGGAACGCGGACGCCUCGCGGGGGGACGGCGGCAGAACGCAGAGCCGGCGAGCCUGCUCAGAACUGGUCCACCCCGGAGCCUCCCAGACCUGAGCGAGCCGGGGAACUCGAGGAGUCGCACGGCGGAGGCUGCUCUGUUGAAGGUGAAUCAUCGUGUCCAAUUGCCUUUCCCCAGAGAACCCGGGGGAGGGCGGGAGAGGGGUGGGGGACGUGUGAGCGCGCGCGUGUGUGAAAGGGAAAGACGACGCGGGGCAAGAGGAAAAGUCUUCGCUCGAGGCUAAAAGCAAACAAAUCGGAGAUGGAAUAAGACCGGCGAUUGCUGGAGCCCGCCUGGAUCCUCCUGGCAGUCUCGGGAGAGGAGCGCACCGGGCUCAGCGCCGAGGACAGCCAGGGCGACCGCGGGCGCCGCCGGGGGCUGCGGACACUUUGGCUUCCUUUCGCUCAGUCAACAAACCUUUUGAUUACUUUGACACUGUGGGAUAAAGACCAGAGACCAGAGACCGACCUCGCGCGCUGCACCUCCCACUUGCUUCGGGGAGGGGACCCCCCAGCUUGUAUGUGAAGACACUGCCGAGCCCCCCUUUAGCCUUCGGAGGAGGCAGCACCCACACGCGCACUCGGGGUCACACUCGCUCGCACACACUGGCGGACUUCAGGUCCCUAUGCCCCUGGAUGGUGCCAGCGGACCGGCAUCUCCGAAGCGAUGCAUGAGCGGUAAGGCUGGCGUCGGCCCGCGGAAGCUACAGGACCAUCGCUAGGUGCUGCCGCCACCGGGACGCCCGGCUGCAGGAUGAGUAAGAGAGACUUACAGAAAGCCACAAAAGGAAAGCUGCUGAUGAUCAUUUUUAUCGUGACCUUGUUGGGGAAAGCUGUUUCCAGCGCCAACCAUCAUAAAGCUCACCAUGUUAAGACGGGAACUUGUGAGGUGGUGGCCCUUCACAGAUGCUGUAACAAGAACAAGAUAGAAGAACGGUCCCAGACGGUCAAGUGCUCCUGCUUCCCUGGGCAGGUGGCAGGCACCACACGAGCGGCUCCAUCUUGUGUGGAUGCAUCCAUAGUGGAACAGAAAUGGUGGUGUCAUAUGCAGCCAUGCCUGGAGGGAGAGGAGUGUAAAGUCCUCCCAGAUCGGAAAGGGUGGAGCUGUUCCUCUGGAAACAAAGUGAAAACAACCAGGGCAAACGUGUAAAACUCUUCACGUUGGAAUGGAGAAGUAGAGAAGGUUUCUGCUGUGCCUCAUGACAAUUUUUGAUUUUCCGCAUUCAAAUUUAUUCUGGCUCCACGCUGGAGCAAUAGUUAUGGCGAAUCGUAGUGUUGGUCGGAUUCUGAGGAAGGGGCAGAAGUUUCCUUGAGAAGUAAAGAUUCAAAACAACUCCAGAAAUGAGCACCUGUCUCCGUUCAUUUCUCACAGAGCAGCAGGUAACCCAUUAACCACAAAAAAAUCAAGCAAUCCUCAAGACUGAGAUCAUGGAGACACACAUAGAAACUUGACUCCUGCAUUGAAAUCGAAGACUUUUAUACCUCUUAGAAGAGGGGCUUUUAAGCCUAUUUCCAAGGAAUUCCAUGACUUGCUAUCAGCUUCUUAUUGAAACCAAGACUUUAAAAAACUCUGAAGUGAACUUUGUGUCCUGAAGAAGACUGCAUCCGCUGCGAACUGGGCUUAGCUAAUUGCACUUCUGAGGGAAGCAGACAUUGCUCUCCACGAAUCUGGUGCAGAGUUGAUGUUCUGGGGGUGGUGACACCAGAGACUGCCACCUGUAGGGUUCCUGGCUUCAGCUGUGACUUCAGUUGUUUCUGAAGCUGUCUCUCAAGUGCACUGUCCUGUCAUAGAUGUGUUCCUGGUUCCUUUGUUCACUGUCUGAUAGGACUGUGCACAGCUUUGGUGAUGUUUCCUUUGCGAACUCCUCUGGCAUGGCGUAGACUGAGACAAUUUUAUUGGUAUUCUAAUCUUGAAACACUGAGAGCCUACAGGUUUUAACACCUCACGCUUGCCUUUGAGAAAGGGUUGGAAGUGUUUCUCUAUUGAAAACGAUAAUCAUUGGCAAGUCACCGUGAUCUGAAUACAUCAGUCAUAUAAGAAUGUAUAGACGUGCUGACAUGUUUCCCCAAGGCUAACACCUCACUGCUGCUCUCUGUCGGUUAGAGACAUAGCAGCUAGGAUUGGAUUCCCAUUACCACUGCACAGGACUCUGUGCCUCGCACACACCUUCCCUUCCAGUUUUUUGAAAGUGUACUUUUUUUCUGUUUUCCUUUUCUUUCCUUCACAGAACUCAUCAGUGUGUAGUAAGUUAGUAGGUAACCUUCCAUUUUAAAAACAUGCCAGGGAUGCAUGUGCUUUUCUAGUUUCUUAUCACUUAUUUUUAUUCUAGUAUUUUCUUAAACUAUCUUCUCUGUCUCAUUUCAAGAUCGUCUCUUGCUUGAUUCCAAUGACUGCUUGAAUGCUUAUAUAUUUGUUCAGUCUGUGGAUAGGAAAAAUUGUUCAUUUUCUUUUACUUCAAAGGUCUAAAUACUUGCUUAUCUUUGCUCCAAUCAAAUAAUAUCAUGGGCCAGUAUUUUGUCUAUAUUUUCUUGGCCAUCUUAAAACUUGUGAGUUUUAGUUCUUCAGAUGUCUUACAAAUAUUUAAAGGCCUUAAACAUUGAUUUACUUUUUUCUAAGUUAUUAUAGAAUGUAUAAUUUUAUACUGCAUUUAUUUUGUUUUACUUGUGAGUAGAGGGAGAGAAUACUGAGUACUGAGUUACAACUAUGUAGUAAUAUGGUGUAGGCCUGUAGAUUGAAGGAAUGUAAAGGCAAGAAUUUUUCAUGUCUUAAUUAUUUCAUCCUGAUCUAAAGAUGCUUCAUAGAUCAUCCUAUUAGGUGGUCCAUCAUUUUGGUAGACGAAUGAAGGUAUUUUGGACUUCUUGUACUGGUAAAACUAACGGACAAUGACAGUUAACCUGUUGGUUUCUGUGAUGGAGGAUCACAUAGGCUAGAAAAUUUUUAUGUUAGACUGUAGUGAUAUUCAAAUGUUUAGACACGAACUAGGCCCUUUACUUGGAAGAAAAAGGUUAAAAAUUCAUUUGGAAAACUAUAUUUUUUAAAUACUGUGCUAAAGUCAACUGCCUCAUAAAUACAUGGAAUGAAGUGAUUCCUGCCUCCCUUUUGAUUGUGAUAAAUCCAAUUAGGUGGUUCCAAGUGGAUUUUGCAAUAGGUCAAGACUACACCGAGUUGAAAUGAAAGGAAUAACAGUUGUGAUGGACUUCAAUGUCAAACAAAAUAUCAUUAAUUUCUUUGAAACAAAAUGGAAAACUAUAUCAUUUUAGACAUUAUGAAUUUAUCCUAGGUUUGUUUGAAAUUAUAGAUCAUGCUUCUCAUUUUGAAAACUAUGUCAUUUAAAACAGCGCUGGAAAUUCUGUAUUAUAGAAAAGUGUAAUACAUGCGUAUCAAUAGAAAAAAAAUAAAUGGAGUUUCAAAUAUAUGAACUAGGUUAUUCCCAGUAGAUUAAUGUUGUGAUUAUUCAGAAAAUGUGAAUAAAAUUGGAAUAUAAAAUCAACUCCCUUUCACAAGUACAGUUUGGAGAAUCUGAUUUCUUGUGUUCUGUUUUAAAGGCACCUUAAUUAGUAACCAAUACAAUUUCAAAUUUAGAAAGAAACUGACAAAUUAUCCAAUCAUCUUUUAAUAAAGUUCUGUGCUAAACUUUCUGUGCUAAGAAAUAGUAUUUGGCCUACUUCUUAGGAACCAUGAAAUCAAUAUAUCGACACUUGUGAUGCUCACCUGAAAGUCAACUAUAAACACAAAUGCAAAAUUCAUCUCACAAUGAAAGCUCUAUGCAUGGCUUACCUUAGGAAACACACUGGAGUAGAACAAUGUAUCAAUGCCAUGUCUCAAAUAUCCUUGAAAAUGCCUUUUUAUUCUGACAUUGUUUAAAAUUUACAAAAACUACAGAAGGCAGCAAAGGAGUCUCUGCCCCUUUGCCAUCUUUCCCCCACGGGUAACAUCUUUCAGAAUCAUAAUACAUCUGUCAAACAUGGAAGUUCACAUUGGUGUAAUACUAUGAGCUCAAAGGUUUGUUUACAUUUUUGUCAGUUUUCACAAGAACCAUGUAUAUAUACUUUCAUCUUUUUAAAACACACAGAUGCCAUUUUACCGUAGGAUACUGGAGUAUACAUUAGAUGGGGGGAGACUAUCAUGGCCAAAGAGUGACUGGU